rnacentral:lncRNA from 1 species
GUUUCCCACCUGUCUCCACCCAGCCUCCUCUAGCGUGCCCUCUGACGUAGGUGUGAUUGCUCCCAUGAGGAGGACAGCUCCACAGUUUCACUUACCGUUGUCCAUUUUGUUUUGAUUUUCGGCAGCUCCAUCCUGGAAUUGUUCCCCAAAUUAUUAUGCCUGGAUGGCCAGCAGUCACCCAGAGCAACUUUAUGUGGUACUGAAGCCCACAAGAGGUUACCAACCUGUAAGGGAAGCUUCUUUGGAUCUGAGAUGUUGAAGAAUCUGGUCCUGCAAUUCCUGCAGCAGUAUUACUUGAUCUAUGACUCUGGAGAUCGACAGGGUCU